CCAGGAGUCAGGUUAGGGGCGUGGGGGGGGGGGUCAUGUUAGACAUCUGGUUAGGAGGCAGGUUAGGGAGGCAAGAUUAGGGAUGUGUGUGUUUGGGUCAUGUUAGACAUCUGAUUAGGAGGCAGGUUGGGAAUGGGGGGGGGGUCAUGAGGCAGGUUAGGGAGGCGGGUUAGGAGGCAGAUCAGGGAUCAGAGAAAGACCCCGCUGUGUGCCAUGAUCAGGCUGCAGCCAUGAUCAGGCUCAGAGCAGGUGAAGUUGGAUUUGACGGGGUUGGAGUUUUGCCCAGAAGUGUGACAAAGGAGGAGAGGGACAGUGGAGUAAAGAUGUGUGCGGAAGAGUGGCCAUAAGGCUUGACUGGGAAAUUUAAACUGGGGCGGGGGGUGGGGGGAGGGUGGAAGAGGUGGGAGCAGUGCGGGACGGCGGGAAGUGGCAGCACCACUGGCCGGUGGAGGCUGCUCAUCCUGAAGAGGGUUUGGACUCAGGUACCAGAGCAAGAGGGGGGUGCUCACAGUGGGUGGUGGGUGGCCCACAUUUUUCGGCCACGGCAGGGGCUAGGAAGUGAGCCCGGGAGAAGAGCCUCAAGUGAGGCUGGAGGCCAAGGUCCUUGGGUAGAAGAGCCAGGACGCCUUUGAGCGCCAUGGGGAAAGGCAUGCCUUCCUCCGACUGAAAGCAGGCUCACCGGGCACACGCAGCAGAAGGGGUGGGCGCCGGCCUCCAGCCCCCUCUCACCUGUCAGAACGACCUGCAUGACCGGGGCAGUGGCCCGGGCUCGGGUAUGGAAGAGACAUUCGUUUGGGUCACCAGUACUCAAGAAUGGUGUCUGUGGGGCUGAGACAGAGCCCACGGCCACGCCCGUUCUCUCCCUGUCUCCGUAACAGAGCGCUGGGUUCUCCGUUCACCGGCCUCCUUUGACCCUUCUUCCUUCUGCCUGCAAAGCACUGAGGGUGAUGGAAUGGAAAGAAAGGACCCUGGACUGCCAACCUUGGACUUGUUUGACUUAAAAUGUGCGCUUUCCGAGGCCAGAUCACUAAGAGCUCUGCAGCUUGCGCCUUCUUUCCUGCGGAUUCCCGCUCCAGGGGACGCCAGCCCUGUGUUGGGAGGACACUGGAGCAGCUUGUGGAGAGGCCCCUGUGGGGUGGAACGGAGGCCGCCUGCCAAUAUCCAGAAACACCCGAGUCAGCCAUCUUGGUAGCCCACCUGCAGCCCCAAGGCUGGCUCACCCACCCUGAAUUCCCGACCGAAGAAACUGCACAUGAUAAUCAAUGUCUACUGUUGUUUUCAACCAUUAAGUUUUGGGGUAACGUGACACAUGACAAUCAAGAAUAGACAAGUUCCCGGGGCAUGGAUCCCGGUGUCUCUGCCAUACGCCAGAGACGUUCGUGGGCUUGGACGAGGUGUCCACUCCAGCGGGCCCAGAGCUCCCACGACAGUUGUUCUCUGUCAAGCCUGGAGGCCUCACCAUCCGUGCAGCCCCGUCCUCAGCCAAGGACAGUGGGAACUCUGAGACUCCCCUCUCCACGGAUUCCAGCAGCACCACUGCGUCCUCAGCUCAGUAAUACGGGGUGGCCUGGCUGGACGCCAUCUCUCUGUGCCAGGGUGGGAGACUGCCACAGUAGCAAGCUGGGGUGGGCAAGGUGGACCUCAGGAAUUUCCCUUCCCUGGGGAUCGCAGUCCUGCAUUUCCUGUUUUUCACACCUGAAAAGGGCUGCCUCGUCUGUUUUGUCCAUGUUAAUGAUUCGUUACAGUGGAGGGCCAGUCUGGCAGGAUUCUCUCCAAUAGCCCAUACAGGAGCCUCAAUCAAAUGUGUUUUUUUCAAAGGCAAGUUCUUUCCACGUGUGUGGGCAACCUGGUGAGCUCUGCAUCAAGCCUAGAAUUUAGUUAGUGGUGAUGGACUGACGUUGGUUUCUUAGUUGUGAUAAAGCUACCACGGAAAUGUAAGGUGUGGACAUUAAAGGAAAUGGGUGGGGGGAGCUCUGUGUUACCUGUGCAUCUUUCCUGUAAAUGUGACAUUAUUGCAAUAAAAAAUGUUAAAUGAUC